rnacentral:tRNA from 1 species
GCCUGGGUGGCUCAGUCGGUUAAGCGUCUGACUUUGGCUCAGGUCAUAUCACGGUUCGUGGGUUCAAGCCCACAUCAGGCU